UGGGCUGGGGCUCAGGGGCAGAGCACUCACCUAGUGCGUGGGAGGCCCUGGGUUUGAGCCUCAGCACCACAU
rnacentral:tRNA from 1 species